AGAACGAACGCUGGCGGCAUGCCUAACACAUGCAAGUCGAACGUGAUCCAGGCUUCGGCCUGGUGAAAGUGGCAGACGGGUGAGUAACGCGUGGGAACCUGCCCUGUGGUAGGGAAUAACCGUGGGAAACUGCGGCUAAUACCCUAUGAGUCCUUCGGGAGAAAGAUUUAUCGCCAUAGGAGGGGCCCGCGUCGGAUUAGGUAGUUGGUGGGGUAACGGCCUACCAAGCCUUCGAUCCGUAGCUGGUCUGAGAGGAUGAUCAGCCACACUGGGACUGAGAUACGGCCCAGACUCCUACGGGAGGCAGCAGUGGGGAAUAUUGGACAAUGGGGGCAACCCUGAUCCAGCAAUGCCGCGUGGAUGAUGAAGGCCUUCGGGUUGUAAAGUCCGUUUCGGCGGGGAAGAUGAUGACGGUACCCGCAGAAGAACGCCCCGGCUAACUUCGCGCCAGCAGCCGC
rnacentral:rRNA from 1 species